GAAAACAAAAUUAAUUGUUCUCAUUUGCGACACAGGAGUACACAAUAAUAACGCGUUCUGGUUUCUGCGCAGACAUUAUUUCUGUUGAAUCAGUUGUUAUCAGUUAUUAGUUUACCUCGGGUACAUAGAGUAAUAUCAAUAUUAUUAACACUGGUAUUAUUAAAUUCAAAUUUAAAUUACAAUUUUUUAAUUUAUAUUAGACUUAUAUUUGUACACACAUUUUUGUAUUUAGUUUUGUACAUUUAUUAUUUAUUAUUUUGUGACACAGCGGAAUUUAAGAAAAUUCAAUAACGUCAAACAUAGAAUUUUUGUGAGCUUUAAUUAAAUAUUAAAAAUGAUUUUUUUCAUUUCAAAUUCAUUAUAUUUGGCAUUCGUCUGAAAUCUACCUUUCUACCAACUCUUCUCAAUAUUGGUGCAGUUAAUGGUACAAUUGGUUAUCAAAGGCAACAAUCCUUGGAUUCAACUGAGCACCUUCUUUUUCAACUACGCUGUCAAUAAAAAAAAUCGACCCAUUUGUUCCACGACCACUACAAUAAACUAAGCCCAUUUUCUGGCAUCUAAGUUUUAAUUCAACCGAGCAUUAGCUGAUGGGAUCUAACAAGCACUUAAUUUUGACUUCAGGAAAACUUAUUGUCUCCACGAUCAGUCAUUGUCAAAGUGUCAUGAAUGUCUUAUUGUACGUUAUUCGACGUUUAUACUCACUGUAGUCAAACUGACGUCCCCGUAGAUGGAACCCAUGGUUUCGUCGGUGAAGAGUGUCAAAGCAGUAGUCGUCGACACGAUAAAAAUACUCAACAAAACGACUUGGUUGACGACUAUUGUUGGGAAACCUAAAAACCGCAAAGGCAGUGAUAUCAUUGUUCGCUACGGUCGGUCCAUUCACACAAAGAUUGCGAAUAUAAUUUACUAGAACGCAUAGAGAGCAGUAAACCAGACGCAACGACGUGUCGUUUCCUCACUCAAACAACGUGUGGCUGGUAAAUUCCGCUAAUGUCGCUCUACUGAACUGAUAAAGGCCUCGGUUCCUUUAUUUAUAUCGCACACAUACUUCUCGGCCUGACCGGAGUCCGGAUCUCUGAGACUCGACUAAAUGCACAUUUUACAGAAGGCACACGUCAUACACAAUGUCUACACACGUAGGUAUUUGUAUUAAUAAUAUACUGUUAUCGACAAUAAACGGUGCUGCACAUACGAUUUUGAUUGUUUUUGUUUUACACAUUAUAGAGCGCAUACACGGUAGGUAUAACACACGACGUUCUAAAUGAAUCAUCAUCGCGGCGUAACCUUAAAAUAUGUACAUAACCAGGCUUCGUCGAACAGAGUAUUGCA